CUAGACUUGACAUCUCCUGCAUUACUCUUAAUCGAGGAAGUCCCUUCGGGGACAGGAUGACAGGUGGUGCAUGGUUGUCGUCAGCUCGUGUCGUGAGAUGUUGGGUUAAGUCCCGCAACGAGCGCAACCCUUAUUGUUAGUUGCCAUCAUUAAGUUGGGCACUCUAGCGAGACUGCCCGGGUUAACCGGGAGGAAGGUGGGGAUGACGUCAAAUCAUCAUGCCCCUUAUGUCUAGGGCUACACACGUGCUACAAUGGUCGGUACAAUAAGACGCAAGCCCGCGAGGGGGAGCAAAACUGGAAAACCGAUCUCAGUUCGGAUUGUAGGCUGAAACUCGCCUACACGAAGCUGGAGCUGCUAGUAAUCGCGAAUCAGCGACCGC
rnacentral:rRNA from 1 species